CUGCAGAGCGAGCUCUGGACAGUCUGCAGUGCUGGCCUGGAAUUCCUGUUGGGGGAGCUGCUGCACCGGUCCCUCCCGCGGGGUCAGCAGCCAACUGUUUUGUUAAACAACAGCUGACCUUCAAUGAAACUGCGAAGUAGGCUACAGAUUCAAUCAUCAACACACCCCUUUAGGUCACCCUUCCAGGCCUGCCGUUGUGUGGAUCUGACUCUUUGGGACAAAGCCCUUCCCCAGACAAGAAUCCCAGCCAUGUAAUUCCUCCUCCGGGGUUCCUGCAACCCACGCACUCCCUGCUCCUACCCUCACUGGCUCACCCCUGCUCUGCUCACCCUCCUCUACACACCUGUUGCCAGAUACCAGUGUCAGAUCAUAUACCCUCAGCAGUCGCUGCUGGCCCUCCAGGAGCUGAAGAUGAUUGGUAUCGUUGAGACCACCGUGUCCAAGUUGAGCCUCCUUGGGGCACCUGGGUGACUCAGUCCAUUGAGCGUCGACUUCAGCUCAGGUCAUAAAAUCACACUUCGUGGGU